CCUACGGGUGGCAGCAGUGAGGAAUAUUGGUCAAUGGACGAGAGUCUGAACCAGCCAAGUAGCGUGAAGGAUGACUGCCCUAUGGGUUGUAAACUUCUUAUAUAUGGGAAUAAAACGUUCCACGUGUGGGAUUUUGUAUGUACCAUAUGAAUAAGGAUCGGCUAACUCCGUGCCAGCAGCCGCGGUAAUACGGAGGAUCCGAGCGUUAUCCGGAUUUAUUGGGUUUAAAGGGAGCGUAGGUGGAUUGUUAAGUCAGUUGUGAAAGUUUGCGGCUCAACCGUAAAAUUGCAGUUGAAACUGGCAGUCUUGAGUACAGUAGAGGUGGGCGGAAUUCGUGGUGUAGCGGUGAAAUGCUUAGAUAUCACGAAGAACUCCGAUUGUGAAGGCAGUUCACUGGACUGCAACUGACACUGAGGCUCGAAAGUGUGGGUAUCAAACAGGAUUAGAUACCCUUGUAGUC
rnacentral:rRNA from 1 species